rnacentral:rRNA from 1 species
AGCGGCGGACGGGUGAGUAAUGCCUGGGAAUAUGCCCUGAUGUGGGGGAUAACUAUUGGAAACGAUAGCUAAUACCGCAUAAUCUCUUCGGAGCAAAGAGGGGGACCUUCGGGCCUCUCGCGUCAGGAUUAGCCCAGGUGGGAUUAGCUUGUUGGUGAGGUAAUGGCUCACCAAGGCAACGAUCCCUAGCUGGUCUGAGAGGAUGAUCAGCCACACUGGAACUGAGACACGGUCCAGACUCCUACGGGAGGCAGCAGUGGGGAAUAUUGCACAAUGGGGGAAACCCUGAUGCAGCCAUGCCGCGUGUGUGAAGAAGGCCUUCGGGUUGUAAAGCACUUUCAGUAGGGAGGAAGGCAGUGUAGUUAACACCUGCACUAUUUGACGUUACCUACAGAAGAAGCACCGGCUAACUCCGUGCCAGCAGCCGCGGUAAUACGGAGGGUGCGAGCGUUAAUCGGAAUUACUGGGCGUAAAGCGCAUGCAGGCGGCCUGUUAAGUCAGAUGUGAAAGCCCGGGGCUUAACCUCGGAAUUGCAUUUGAAACUGGCAGG